CCAAGGUUGAUCGAAGUUGAACAUUCCUAUGGAACUCCCCUUCAGACGACUUCUCUGCGCUUGCCCAGCACCUUUCGUUUUAAUGCAGUCUCGCAAAUGCUUGUAGGCUCUUCUCGCAGCACCAUCCACCCAAUACAUGUUCCUAACACGGUCCUCAUCGUCCAAUCUUAUCAUGUAGAAGAAAUCUUGAUCUUCUUUCGCUUUCUCAUCGAAGUAGGCUAUUGUGGCUUCUAUGUUAGCCCACUUGCUUUCUCUACGGUACUUUGCCUUUAG
rnacentral:rRNA from 1 species